GAUGAAGAACGCAGCGAAAUGCGAUACGUAAUGUGAAUUGCAGAAUUCAGUGAAUCAUCGAGUCUUUGAACGCACAUUGCGCCCCCUGGUAUUCCGGGGGGCAUGCCUGUCCGAGCGUCAUUGCUGCCCUCAAGCACGGCUUGUGUGUUGGGCCUCCGUCCUCCUCCCGGGGGACGGGCCCGAAAGGCAGCGGCGGCGCCGCGUCCGGUCCUCGAGCGUAUGGGGCUUCGUCACCCGCUCUUGUAGGCCCGGCCGGCGCUUGCCGACACAUCAAUCUUUUUUCCAGGUUGACCUCGGAUCAGGUAGGGAUACCCGCUGAACUUAAGCAUAUCAAUAAGCGGAGGA
rnacentral:misc_RNA from 1 species